rnacentral:rRNA from 1 species
UACGAAGGGGGCUAGCGUUGUUCGGAAUUACUGGGCGUAAAGCGCGUGUAGGCGGGUCUUUAAGUCAGGGGUGAAAUCCCAGGGCUUAACCCUGGAACUGCCUGCGAGACCUCAGUACUAGAGUGUGAGAGGGGAUAGUGGAAUACCAAGUGUAGCGGUGAAAUGCGUAGAGAUUUGGUGGAACACCGGUGGCGAAGGCGGCUAUCUGGCUCACAACUGACGAUCAGGCACGAAAGCGUGGGGAGCAAACAGG